AUUCGAGCAAUCGAAGAUAUAUGGGAUAACAAGUGAUACAGAGAAUAUUAGCUUGUUCCCUGCAUAAAAAUGACACACAAAUUCAUAAAUUCUUUUAUACAUUUUU